rnacentral:lncRNA from 1 species
UCAGUAGCUCUCUAGGCCUGGGUACCGGAGGGAGGGAGGCGGGCAGAGGAGGGGAGAUGGGCACCCCCAGUCUUUCCAUCCUCCUCAUUCGUCUAGGGGCACCCGAAUCCCCUAUUCCUUAUUUCCCCUAUCACUCAGGCACUGGCAGGGUCCUUUGCCCACUCCUGUUGGCCGCUGCGGCUCCAAAGCGAGCUGGGCAGAUGUGCCUGAGACAGGUUUGACCAGGCAACUGAAAAGACAUCCCUAAGAGAAGACAAAGCAAAGGUAUGAAAGGAACACACGUCCCUGACUGACUAGGAGGAACAGAGCUGCCUGCUAUCUGGAACAACUUCCUCCCAGACUAAGUGAGAAAUAAACUUCUGUUUUCUAUA